UACAGAGGGUGCGAGCGUUGUUCGGAAUUACUGGGCGUAAAGCGCGCGCAGGCGGUCCUUCAAGUCAGAGGUGAAAGCCCAGAGCUCAACUCUGGAAUGGCCUUUGAGACUAGAGGACUUGGGUACGGGAGAGGUGAGUGGAAUUCCGAGUGUAGAGGUGAAAUUCGUAGAUAUUCGGAAGAACACCGGUGGCGAAGGCGGCUUCCUGGACCACAACUGACGCUGAGGCGCGAAAGCUAGGGGAGCAAACAGG
rnacentral:rRNA from 1 species